rnacentral:rRNA from 1 species
UACAGAGGUCUCGAAGCGUUGUUCGGAUUCAUUGGGCGUAAAGGGUGCGUAGGCGGCGCGGUAAGUCGGGUGUGAAAUCUCGGAGCUUAACUCCGAAACUGCAUUCGAUACUGCCGUGCUUGAGGACUGGAGAGGAGACUGGGAAUUUACGGUGUAGCGGUGAAAUGCGUAGAUAUCGUAAGGAAGACCAGUGGCGAAGGCGGGUCUCUGGACAGUUCCUGACGCUGAGGCACGAAGGUCAGGGGAGCAAACGGG